rnacentral:lncRNA from 1 species
AAUAAUAAUAUUCAUUAAUUUAAUACAAGAAUUUAUAUUUGAUUAUUAUCAAGAAUUUUAUUCAUUUUGUAAAUAUUAUAUGAUUAUGAUAAUGAGGUUGCAUGGCAACAACAUAGUUAAAAGGACUGUCAGAAGAAGGCGUUCUUGUCUCGCCUAUCAGCUGUUACAGUAUUGUGUGGAUCUGUGGUAUUUCUUGACUGAUGCUUGUUGGAGUUUGUUCUCAUUGGAAGUUUUUGUUGAUGCUGAGCAGUCACCACCUGAAGAAGUUUGUUGUUGGACUUAGGAACUUAAUUGAGUUGGAUGGUGUCCAACUGGCGUUUGGAGGAACAUUUUGUAUAUAGGCGAGAUUAUUGUUUUUUAUUAUUGUAAGUAGUUUUGAAGUUAGAAAUUUUGUUUUUGGUUAAUAAAGUUCAUAAAAUAUGGAGCACUGUUUUGAAGCUGUCAUUCGUUAGCUAAGUAAUAAUGAAUUAAAUAUUAACAUUAAGAUAAGUGCAAACAAGCAUAACACACAAGGCCGAACCGAAAGUGAAGCACGGAAGCAUGGUCCACCUUCACAAUCAUUAAUAUCAAAAUGACCUUACAUUUUCACGUAAUAUUUUAUGAAAGAGAAUAUAAAUAUUUGGAUAUUGAUAACAUUUGCCAUUUAGUAAAUAUUAAAAGUCGAUGUCACUGGAAAUAUGUUUUAACAGUUUUCUAUAUUAGAUGAAAAUCAUAAAACAGUUUUGCAGAAGCUUGCAGUUUCAAACUACAGUUAGGUUUUGAUAGUGGUACUUAUCUUAUCUUAUCC